CGUGACACCGAUUGUUAUUCAUAAUACAUAUUAACGUAACAUAAUGACGCUGUGUUAUAUCAUAAUUACAGCGUUACUCUCCUACACUAGAUGACCGUGGCACGAAAACAGUUGUGAGUCGACGAGGAUGGGAUUCGAACCCACGCGUGCAGAGCACAAUGGAUUAGCAGUCCAUCGCCUUAACCACUCGGCCACCUCGUCUGGGUAAAGCGUGCGCAUACAGAUGGAUCACGUGUCUUACUUACCAGAGUGGGAACUGGAGGUUGCAGCUUGGUCAAAAUUUCCACCAUACGGGCACUGCCAUCUUGUACAAAUGACGUGAUUUGGAUCCCGCCCACAUUCAUCCGUUAAUUAACCAGAAUGAUUGAGGACAGCUACACUUGGGGAUGCAAGAAAACGGAAGCAGCCUUGGUCUGGAUGCGCCCAGUGGUGAUUGGAGAGACCCCCUCCCCUUUUUCCAUCAGUAAAUUGUGAAAUAUAUUUAUAAAAGCACACAAAUACAUACAGAUUCAAGUAUUGUAUAAAGCAAAAUGAUUAAUAAAAACACAGGCAUGAAUAAGAGAGGAAUGACUUACAUAUUGUCACUCACCAUUUCCUUCAUAGAAUUAAAAAAAUAUAUAUUUUAAAUGCCUGAUAAA